rnacentral:rRNA from 1 species
CACGUAGGGGCCAAGCGUUGUCCGGAUUUAUUGGGCGUAAAGAGCUCGUAGGCGGUUCGACAAGUCGGGUGUGAAAACUCCGGGCUCAACCCGGAGACGCCACCCGAUACUGUCGUGACUGGAGUCCGGUAGGGGAGUGGGGAAUUCCUGGUGUAGCGGUGAAAUGCGCAGAUAUCAGGAGGAACACCGGUGGCGAAGGCGCCACUCUGGGCCGGUGACUGACGCUGAGGAGCGAAAGCGUGGGUAGCAAACAGG